UGAGAAUAUUACUAAUUACUGAACUGCUGAGGUGAAUAACCAGGGGCAGUUUGAGCAGUGAUGGUGUUAAGAUGUGAAUCUGGUUCUAACGGAAAGAGCUCAUGUUUGUCUAUUUUCAAUCUGAUGGCUGUCUGCUGAUUGUACACCUACAGUAAAGGAAUACAGUACAAUUCAUACAACGGAACGCGGGGUAUUGUUUCAGGCACUUCAAAAAAGCUUCUUUUUCUUUUUUUGCAUAAUGGACAGUGCAGUAUAUCAGCAUACAUUUUUAAACAUUGGAUAUUGGAUCUCUACUCUGACUUAUCGGUAUUUUUGCACAUCCACUUGUAAAUGAGACCCAAAGUGGUUUAACCUGAAAAUCCAAGGGAAGGAGAACAAGUGGACGUGGUCCAGUCCUCCAGAAGCCACAUGCCAGUGGAUCUGGAAUACGCAGAACUGGAUUUCCAGGACAGAGCCGAGCGGCCAACCCCUCAGCAGCACGCAGCUCCAGAAGAUCUCAGUGUUAUCUACUCACAGUGCCGCUAGUGAAGCCGCUCAUCACAGCAACACGUGCAGCACUGCAGGCAGCAAGGCAUCAGGACAUGCAACUUCACCCGAUUAGUAUUGCAUGCUUUUGCAAAGUGCCUGGGUGCUGUAUGAGUUUGAAUGGUCAUGCACCGUAUCUUCAGCAGACUGGCAGUGCAGCCCUUUCAAGGGACCGUCUCUCUUCGGUUCUGUGACUUGACAGGUGGUUAGCUGGUACAGCUGCUGGACGAUAAAUUGGAAACACCUGCCAUAUGUAGUACACCUCCAUCGCAUGACUACUAGGGCUGCUGCGAUGGGACUUUGUGAAUUCUGUAUUUGUUUUUUUUAAUCCAAAUACAUUUUUUGUUUGUCAUAUAUUAAUGUUUUUUUUUCAUUGUCAUCCCUAUAAAAUAUACUCAGAAAAUGUGUCAUUCAUAAGAGCUUCUUGUUGAAAGGCUUGUCCAGUUUUAUGACUACAUUUCUUUUUUUAGUUCUGAUCUCUUUUAUCUUCUUUCUUGUUAUCUGCUGUUAUUGAGAUUUUCUGUUUUCUAGUAGGAACCCACAGCAGUCCCUAAAUUGCUAAUACAGUACAUACUGUAGUAUCGUUGGGCAGCAGUGUGGAGUAGUGGUUAGGGCUCAGGGCUCUGGACUCUGGACCGGAGUGUCGUGGGUUCAAUCCCAAAUGGGGACACUGCUGCUGUGCCCUUGAGCAAGGUACUUUACCUAGAUUGCUCCAGUAAAAACCCAACUGUAUAAAUGGGUAAUUGUAUGUAAAAAUAAUGUAAUUGUAUGUAAAAAUAAUGUAAUUGCAUGUAAAAAAA